rnacentral:sRNA from 1 species
GCCAGGCAUGGUGGCCCGUGCCUGUAAUCCCAGUAGCUGGAGAGGCUGGGACAGGAGGGUCAUGAGUUCAAAGCAAGUCUCAGCAAAAGCAAGUGCUAAGUAACUCAGUGAGAUUCUGUCUCAA